rnacentral:rRNA from 1 species
UACGGAAGGCAGCAGUGGGGAAUAUUGGACAAUGGGCGAAAGCCUGAUCCAGCCAUGCCGCAUGAGUGAAGAAGGCCUUCGGGUUGUAAAGCUCUUUUAGUGAGAAAGAUAAUGACGGUACUCACAGAAGAAGUCCUGGCUAACUCCGUGCCAGCAGCCGCGGUAAUACGGAGAGGGCUAGCGUUAUUCGGAAUUAUUGGGCGUAAAGAGCGCGUAGGCUGAUUAGUAAGUUAAAAGUGAAAUCCCAAAGCUUAACUUUGGAAUUGCUUUUUAAAACUGCUAGUCUAGAGAUUGAAAGAGGAUAGAGGAAUUCCUAGUGUAGAGGUGAAAUUCGUAAAUAUUAGGAGGAACACCAGUGGCGAAGGCGUCUAUCUGGUUCAAAUCUGACGCUGAGGCGCGAAGGGCGUGGGGAGCAAAACAGGGAUUAGAUACC